rnacentral:rRNA from 1 species
GACGAACGCUGGCGGCGUGCCUAACACAUGCAAGUCGAGCGAUGAAGCUCCUUCGGGAGUGGAUUAGCGGCGGACGGGUGAGUAACACGUGGGUAACCUGCCUCAUAGAGAGGGAUAGCCUUCCGAAAGGAAGAUUAAUACCUCAUAAGAUUGUAGUUUCGCAUGAAACGGCAAUAAAAGGAGCAAUCCGCUAUGAGAUGGACCCGCGUCGCAUUAGCUAGUUGGUAAGGUAAUGGCUUACCAAGGCGACGAUGCGUAGCCGACCUGAGAGGGUGAUCGGCCACAUUGGGACUGAGACACGGCCCAGACUCCUACGGGAGGCAGCAGUGGGGAAUAUUGCACAAUGGGGGAAACCCUGAUGCAGCAACGCCGCGUGAGUGAUGACGGACUUCGGAUUGUAAAACUCUGUCUUUGGGGACGAUAAUGACGGUACCCAAGGAGGAAGCCACGGCUAACUACGUGCCAGCCGCCGCCGUAAAAC